rnacentral:misc_RNA from 1 species
GAUGAAGAACGUAGCAAAAUGCGAUAAGUAAUGUGAAUUGCAGAAUUCAGUGAAUCAUCGAAUCUUUGAACGCACAUUGCGCCCGCCAGUAUUCUGGCGGGCAUGCCUGUUCGAGCGUCAUUUCAACCCUCAAGCCCUCGGGUUUGGUGUUGGGGAUCGGCGAGCCUUUCUGGCAAGCCGGCCCCGAAAUCUAGUGGCGGUCUCGCUGCAGCCUCCAUUGCGUAGUAGUAAAACCCUCGCAACUGGAACGCGGCGCGGCCAAGCCGUUAAACCCCCAACUUCUGAAUGUUGACCUCGGAUCAGGUAGGGAUACCCGCUGAACUUAAGCAUAUCAAUAAGCGGAGGA